rnacentral:rRNA from 1 species
GACGAACGCUGGCGGCGUGCUUAACACAUGCAAGUCGAGCGGUAAGGCCCUUCGGGGUACACGAGCGGCGAACGGGUGAGUAACACGUGGGUGAUCUGCCUUGCACUCUGGGAUAAGCCUGGGAAACUGGGUCUAAUACCGGAUAUGACCACUUCUCGCAUGGGUUGUGGUGGAAAGAUUUAUCGGUGCAAGAUGAGCCCGCGGCCUAUCAGCUUGUUGGUGGGGUAAUGGCCUACCAAGGCGACGACGGGUAGCCGGCCUGAGAGGGCGACCGGCCACACUGGGACUGAGACACGGCCCAGACUCCUACGGGAGGCAGCAGUGGGGAAUAUUGCACAAUGGGCGAAAGCCUGAUGCAGCGACGCCGCGUGAGGGAUGACGGCCUUCGGGUUGUAAACCUCUUUCGACUCCGACGAAGCGAAAGUGACGGUAGGAGUAUAAGAAGCACCGGCCAACUACGUG